GAGUGGCGGACGGGUGAGUAACACGUGGGUAACCUACCCAUCAGAGGGGGAUAACACUUGGAAACAGGUGCUAAUACCGCAUAACAGUUUAUGCCGCAUGGCAUAAGAGUGAAAGGCGCUUUCGGGUGUCGCUGAUGGAUGGACCCGCGGUGCAUUAGCUAGUUGGUGAGGUAACGGCUCACCAAGGCCACGAUGCAUAGCCGACCUGAGAGGGUGAUCGGCCACACUGGGACUGAGACACGGCCCAGACUCCUACGGGAGGCAGCAGUAGGGAAUCUUCGGCAAUGGACGAAAGUCUGACCGAGCAACGCCGCGUGAGUGAAGAAGGUUUUCGGAUCGUAAAACUCUGUUGUUAGAGAAGAACAAGGACGUUAGUAACUGAACGUCCCCUGACGGUAUCUAACCAGAAAGCCACGGCUAACUACGUGCCAGCAGCCGCGGUAAUACGUAGGUGGCAAGCGUUGUCCGGAUUUAUUGGGCGUAAAGCGAGCGCAGGCGGUUUCUUAAGUCUGAUGUGAAAGCCCCCGGCUCAACCGGGGAGGGUCAUUGGAAACUGGGAGACUUGAGUGCAGAAGAGGAGAGUGGAAUUCCAUGUGUAGCGGUGAAAUGCGUAGAUAUAUGGAGGAACACCAGUGGCGAAGGCGGCUCUCUGGUCUGUAACUGACGCUGAGGCUC
rnacentral:rRNA from 1 species